UUUUAACUUGAGUAUGUCGCCAAUAUACAGGAAUACGCGUGUUAGCGUCACUGAGGAGUAACCACCGCAAUCCUUGUUUAUCUCUCUGCUGGUACGUGUUAGGACAUCCUAAGAGUAUCUGGGGAUGGGUAACUAUUGAUAGCAAUGGAAGAAUCUCGUUUAUAGUAGAUAUUAUUCCCUCCCAAUACUCCCUAAUUUUCUGGCAAAAC